AAAAAAGUAAAAAAUUAGAAGAAAAAAGGAAUUGACUGUUACCUAAAACUUCAGAAAGAAUCAUUUUUUCUUUUUUUUUUUUUCUUUUUUAUUAAUCCUUGUUUCAAGACCUCUCUUUAUUCCUGCCUCUCUCUUUAAAAGAAAGAUAGAUAGUGUGAGAGAGUGUAUUA
rnacentral:ribozyme from 13 species